rnacentral:rRNA from 1 species
GAAAUAGAUCCUGAAACCGUAUGCGUACAAGCAGUGGGAGGCCCACUUUGUUGGGUGACUGCGUACCUUUUGUAUAAUGGGUCAGCGACUUAUUUUCAGUGGCGAGCUUAACCGAAUAGGGGAGGCGUAGCGAAAGCGAGUCUUAAUAGGGCGUCUAGUCGCUGGGAAUAGACCCGAAACCGGGCGAUCUAUCCAUGGGCAGGUUGAAGGUUGGGUAACACUAACUGGAGGACCGAACCGACUACCGUUGAAAAGUUAGCGGAUGACCUGUGGAUCGGAGUGAAAGGCUAAUCAAGCUCGGAGAUAGCUGGUUCUCCUCGAAAGCUAUUUAGGUAGCGCCUCAUGUAUCACUGUAGGGGGUAGAGCACUGUUUCGGCUAGGGGGUCAUCCCGACUUACCAAACCGAUGCAAACUCCGAAUACCUACAAGUGCCGAGCAUGGGAGACACACGGCGGGUGCUAACGUCCGUCGUGAAAAGGGAAACAACCCAGACCGUCAGCUAAGGUCCCAAAGUUAUGGUUAAGUGGGGAAACGAUGUGGGAAGGCUUAGACAGCUAGGAGGUUGGCUGAGAAGCAGCCACCCUUUAAAGAAAGCGUAAUAGCUCACUAGUCGAGUCGGCCUGCGCGGAAGAUGUAACGGGGCUCAAACCAUACACCGAAGCUACGGGUAUCAUCUUCGGAUGAUGCGGUAGAGGAGCGUUCUGUAAGCCUGUGAAGGUGAGUUGAGAAGCUUGCUGGAGGUAUCAGAAGUGCGAAUGCUGACAUGAGUAACGACAAUGGGUGUGAAAAACACCCACGCCGAAAGACCAAGGUUUCCUGCGCAACGUUAAUCGACGCAGGGUUAGUCGGUCCCUAAGGCGAGGCUGAAAAGCGUAGUCGAUGGAAAACAGGUUAAUAUUCCUGUACUUCUGGUUAUUGCGAUGGAGGGACGGAGAAGGCUAGGCCAGCUUGGCGUUGGUUGUCCAAGUUUAAGGUGGUAGGCUGGAAUCUUAGGUAAAUCCGGGAUUCUAAGGCCGAGAGCUGAUGACGAGUUACUCUUUGAGUGACGAAGUGGUUGAUGCCAUGCUUCCAAGAAAAGCUUCUAAGCUUCAGGUAACCAGGAACCGUACCCCAAACCGACACAGGUGGUUGGGUAGAGAAUACCAAGGCGCUUGAGAGAACUCGGGUGAAGGAACUAGGCAAAAUGGCACCGUAACUUCGGGAGAAGGUGCGCCGGUGAGGGUGAAGGACUUGCCUCCGUAAGCUCAUGCCGGUCGAAGAUACCAGGCCGCUGCGACUGUUUAUUAAAAACACAGCACUCUGCAAACACGAAAGUGGACGUAUAGGGUGUGACGCCUGCCCGGUGCCGGAAGGUUAAUUGAUGGGGUUAGCUAACGCGAAGCUCUUGAUCGAAGCCCCGGUAAACGGCGGCCGUAACUAUAACGGUCCUAAGGUAGCGAAAUUCCUUGUCGGGUAAGUUCCGACCUGCACGAAUGGCGUAACGAUGGCGGCGCUGUCUCCACCCGAGACUCAGUGAAAUUGAAAUCGCUGUGAAGAUGCAGUGUAUCCGCGGCUAGACGGAAAGACCCCGUGAACCUUUACUAUAGCUUUGCAUGGACUUUGAAUUUGCUUGUGUAGGAUAGGUGGGAGGCUUUGAAGCGUGGACGCCAGUUCGCGUGGAGCCAACCUUGAAAUACCACCCUGGCAACUUUGAGGUUCUAACUCAGGUCCGUUAUCCGGAUCGAGGACAGUGUAUGGUGGGUAGUUUGACUGGGGCGGUCUCCUCCUAAAGAGUAACGGAGGAGUACGAAGGUGCGCUCAGACCGGUCGGAAAUCGGUCGUAGAGUAUAAAGGCAAAAGCGCGCUUGACUGCGAGACAGACACGUCGAGCAGGUACGAAAGUAGGUCUUAGUGAUCCGGUGGUUCUGUAUGGAAGGGCCAUCGCUCAACGGAUAAAAGGUACUCCGGGGAUAACAGGCUGAUACCGCCCAAGAGUUCAUAUCGACGGCGGUGUUUGGCACCUCGAUGUCGGCUCAUCACAUCCUGGGGCUGAAGCCGGUCCCAAGGGUAUGGCUGUUCGCCAUUUAAAGUGGUACGCGAGCUGGGUUUAGAACGUCGUGAGACAGUUCGGUCCCUAUCUGCCGUGGACGUUUGAGAUUUGAGAGGGGCUGCUCCUAGUACGAGAGGACCGGAGUGGACGAACCUCUGGUGUUCCGGUUGUCACGCCAGUGGCAUUGCCGGGUAGCUAUGUUCGGAAUAGAUAACCGCUGAAAGCAUCUAAGCGGGAAACUAGCCUCAAGAUGAGAUCUCACUGGAACCUUGAGUUCCCUGAAGGGCCGUCGAAGACUACGACGUUGAUAGGUUGGGUGUGUAAGCGCUGUGAGGCGUUGAGCUAACCAAUACUAAUUGCCCGUGAGGCUUGACCAUAUAACACCCAAGCAAUUUGG